AUGAGUACACCCCCUUUGAAAAGUAACAUUUUAAACAAUAUCUCAAUGAACACAAAAAACAAUUUCCAAAAUGUUGACAAAACUUAGUUUUAUAUAACAUCUGUUUAACUUAUAACAUGAAAGUAAGUGUCAUGAUCACCGUCUGUUCCUGUCAGUUCCUGGACUCCAUUUCCCAUUAUCCUCCCUGCCCAUCACAUGCACACUCCACACCAAUCACCUGUUGCCACAUACAUCUUAGCACACUACCUGGACUAUAAAGGACUUACACACACACCACCUCACCGCGAAGUCUUGAUUUGCUACGGUAGUCAUUUCUGAGCGUUAUUCUGUGGACUGAUAUCUUGUUAUUACCCGGACUGUUUGUUAUCUGUGAACCUCUGCCGCCUGCCCUGAACUUUGCCUGUACCCUGGACUGUGAUUGUUUGCCGCCUGUCUUGAUCUCUGCCUGUGACCCGUCUCUGAUUCCUGCUGCCAGCCUCGACCCCUGCCUGUCCCUGACUACGGAUGUGAAAUGUCCUCAGACUGGUGUGAGCACUGAGAGCCACAGCAGAUCCUGGGAAUGGUGUAGAGCCAUGGAUGAGACCCUCCAUCACUCCUCCUGCCCUUACUGCCUCAUCUGGACCGGAUGUUGCUGUGGUCUCUUCAUCCUCAGUGAGCCCAGAGCCAGCGAGAGCAUCUAGAAAAAGACCAAAAGAUUGAGGAUGUGAUUUUGGUCCAGUUUGUUCUGCUGGUUUCUGUUCAUACAAUGGAGCCUGACUUUCAUAAGCUUCAAAAGCAUCAUCAAAUAAUGUCAUGAAGCUUCUGGAAUUCAGGCUCCAUUGACUGAUAUUGUAUGAACAGAAACCAGCAGGACAAACUUGAUCAAAAUCACCUUUUGUGUUCAGAAGAAGAAAAAAAAUGAACACAGGGAUUAAACAGUGUGAAGGCGAGUAAAUAAUUACUGAAUUUAUAUGUUUGGGUGAACUAACCCUUUAUGAUCCCAAAUAGAAACUGUAUGAAAUGUAUGUAUGCAUUUAUAUUACAGUAGUACCUUGAAAAAGGUACACUAGACACUAACAAAAAAGGAUUUACAAAAAUCACAUUUACAUUUGGCAGAUGCUGUUAUUCAAAGUGACUUACAGUGCUCUUAUUACAGGGAUGAUCCCCGUGGAGUAACCUGGAGUAAAGUGUCUUGAUCAAGGACACACUGGUGGUGAUGGCUGCGGAGAUCGAACCAGCAACCUUCUGCUUACCAGUUCAGCGGUUUAACCCACUACACCACAAAAUUUAUUUAGUCAUGCUGAUGGAGAGCACACAAAUGUUUGGAGCAGAAACAGCAGCAGCCAGAUUGUCCCGCACAUCAUGUCCCACUCUUGCUUCAAGGUUGUGGGGUUCAGGGGUCCAUCAUCAUGGUCUUCCUCAUCCUCUGGAUCAACGAUGUCCCCAUUGAGAAGAGCAGCAGUGAGGGACAUGAUGGAUGACAAAGACAGGCGAAGGUGUUCAUGGUGGUCAGCUGCUUCAUCAAAAUAAAGCUGCAGAAUUGGCACAGCUGUGUUCAGGUGGCAGUAGGAUGUGGGGAUCACCGCCCGCAAAUACAUGAUUGUUAGAACAAUAAGUUUGAAUAAAGCUUUGUUUCAUGUGCUGUUGACUUGUAUAUGCAUUUAUUUAUUGUCAUUGCUACUUUUUUUAAUUCUUUUACUUUUUUUUUUAUUAAUUAUGCUAUUAUUAUCAGUAAAUUUAUUUAUUUUAUUAUGCAUUAAUUCAUUGCUCGACUGUAAAUUGAGUUGUAUUCACAUCAGCUGUAAUUGUCUAGUGUGUGUUCAUGCGUAGCUAUGUCAUAUGACAAAACAUUACAUUUUGCUUGUUUUACUAAAGAAGUAAAACAAAAAGUAAUAUAAUUAAGUUUUGGUCAGCAUUUAUCAUUAUUAUUGUGUGUAGGUGUUGGGGUGGGCUAGCAAUGCAAUUCAUUCUGGGGUAAUCUUAAUUUUUUAAGUAGUUUAUAUUUAUAUUUUUUGAGUAUAAAAUCAACAGUCUUCUCCAAAGGCGAGAUCUUCGAGCAGCUGUCCGACGUCUCCUUUGUGCAGACAUUGCUAACACUAAGGAAAACCUGUCUAGGUAGGGUUGUCAAGUUAUGGUGCUGUGAGGGGUUAGUGCACCUGUUGCUCAUAUCUUUAUUUUUAUUGCAGGACCUAUAAUUACAUAGAAGAUCAGGGAAAAUACCAUGGUUGUAUCUUUAACAAUGAACAAUAAUAAACAAAUAUGGGUUUGUAUACAUCAUAGUUUGAGAUUAUAUACACAGACAAAGCAUGAUGACGAGGUUAAAUAUUUUGAAUACAUCAUCAUAAUGCAUAAAAAGUAUUAUUAUUAUUUAUAAGCCUGAGGGACGAAGCUAGAGCUAUUUCAACAAGAAAAAAAGGAAAACGUAAAGGAGAUUUAUGCCACUUUUGCUUGUGGAUGAACAUUUUUGCAUAUAAAAUAAAGAAAUUAACAAUAUAUUCACGCGAAUUUGGGUUUUCGUAACAAAAAAUAUACUGUGGGUCACAUUAUUAGUUAAAAAUAUAAGAACUUAAAAUUAACCUAAAAUAUAUUAGUUGUACUACAAUUACAAAAUUACUGGGCAGCUGUUUCUUCAACAAGACCACAAAAUGAGCAAGUUUAAUCAAUGUCAAGAUAUUUACAGAUAGAUUAAUUAAACCUGUCACUCAUAUCUUUUAAGUUGUUGCGCUUGUGAUUUAGUCGUAGGUCACAUGAUAACGUCAACAUGGCGGAUUAUGUCCGGAUCGCAUUCAUACUCAACGAGAUUUGGCUAUUAAGUACCUACUCUUUUAGUGCUCGUUAAGUAAGUACUUAUUGAAAUUAAGUACCUACUCAUUGAGUAGGCGGUUUCGGACGCAGCCAUUG